rnacentral:rRNA from 1 species
GACGAACGCUGGCGGCGUGCUUAACACAUGCAAGUCGAACGGAAAGGCCCUGCUUUUGUGGGGUGCUCGAGUGGCGAACGGGUGAGUAACACGUGAGUAACCUGCCCUUGACUUUGGGAUAACUUCAGGAAACUGGGGCUAAUACCGGAUAGGAGCUCCUGCUGCAUGGUGGGGGUUGGAAAGUUUCGGCGGUUGGGGAUGGACUCGCGGCUUAUCAGCUUGUUGGUGGGGUAGUGGCUUACCAAGGCUUUGACGGGUAGCCGGCCUGAGAGGGUGACCGGACAAACUGGGACUGAGAUGAGGCACAGACUACUACGGGAGGCAGCGGAGGGGAAUAGUGCACUAUGGGCGGAAGCAUGAUGUAGCAACGCCGCGUGCGGGAUAACGGCCUUCGGGUUGGAAACCGCUAUUGUCUGUGACGAAGCGUGAGUGACGGUAAUGGGUAAAGAAGCACCGGCUAACUACGUG